GGGUGCGAUCAUACCAGUGUUAAUGCAUCAGAUCCCAUCAGAGGGCCACAGUUAAGCGCAUUUGGGCUAGAGUAGUACUAGGAUGGGAGAGCUCCCGAGAAGUCCUAGUGUUGCACUGU
rnacentral:rRNA from 1 species